GUGGAGGUGCCUAAAUGGCAUAUCCUUGGAAGAUGCUAACUUGCAACCUUCUCACUCUACACUUUUCUUUUCCCUUUUUCUCUCCUUUCACCAAAAGUAUCCAAACACUAACACCUGAGUCAUCUCACCCCUUCAUUGCUCUCAUGACCAACAACACCACCCUUUAUAAAUUCCAUCCCAUGGCCUUCUUCUUCACCCCCUCUUAGUAUUGCACCACUCAAUAAAGAUGUAAUUCCGAGGCUUUUCUCCCUCCGGCAGCCGCCUGCUGCCACCGAUAGCAGCUCAAACUCAAGCGGCAGGCGGUGCGGUCAAGGUCUCGGGCAUGGGCAACUUCGAUCCUUUGGCAUUUCGCUUCCGCGGAGUUUCACUCUCUGUUUCUCCUCGUUACUUGUGAUUUCAGCUCAAGGACAUUAAAAACCGAUGGGCGAGUCAGAUUAUGCUGAUGUUUCCUGUUUUCUUGUGUUUUCUUAGCAUUAGUAGUGAUGAUAUAUGUACAAAUAAAUGCAUGUUUGCUACUGCAAAACAUUGGUUUUGCAGUGUGGUUGCAGUGUGCUUGUGCUGCAGAAUGCUUGUGAGCAAAAAGCCUUACAUAUGAUGACUCUGUGGCUAUGUGAAAGGUUUGAGUUGAUUUACUA